GGCUAGUAUCGCGAGAUCAGGAAGGUGGCCGAGUGUGUCGCCGCGGCCAUCAGGCACUUCUCCUUCCUGCCCUUGUAUGAAGAAGGAUGUGUUUGCUUCCCCUUGUGCCAUGAUUGUAAAUUUCCUGAGGCCUCCUCAGCCCUGCAGAACUGGCUAGAGCAAUGUAUCUUAGGCUCACUUAAGGAAGCUGUAGAGAUGAGCCCAAGGAGGGAAACCAGAAGAGCCCCCCAGGCUCACCAGUUGUUUGUUGGCUCCCUACAAACAUGUCAUUCAAGUGGCUAAUCUUACAACAGCACAAAUUCAUCUAACCAGCAGAAAGAGAAGAGGAGGCUCCAAAGGCACUUGACUACUGAGCAUCACCCUGGACGUGUACAAGUCUGCGUCCUUAUUGUUUUCUUCAUUGGGCCGAACUUUCUGGUCCUCAUCCAACAGCUCUUCUAUCACGUGUUCGAAAGUGUCAGCCAAUGAUGUCAAGCCUCUUGAACCUGCCUUGGGCCCAUUCACGCUCUCCAGAGUCCCAUGGGUCCGCACACCUGGAGAUACUCUAUUAUAGCAAAGAAGAAAGAUAAUUUCAUUGAGCCAUCCUGUUUUACAGAAUGUCUGCAAUAUCUGCUGGCUUUAUGUUUCAUAUGAUAAGCAUAUCGUCUGUGCCUUCAGACACAUUAUCAGCCAACAUGUCGGUGCUGGAUGUAUUUUCCCAAUGUUGCAUAAGAGGAAUACCUUCGAGAGUUUGGCCUAGGAAUGUGGCCUGGGACUCCGCCAAGCAUCUCUCUCCAGCAAAAUGACUGCAAAUUUCUCGACCUUCAGAUUCUACAUGAUGUAAAAGAAGUUUGUCUGUGUUUAAAAACACAUUCAAGAAAUAAGUGAACAUGUGAAAAGACAGAAAAACUUGUUUUAAUUUGGGCAUAGUUUCAGUUUUCAAAGGCACAUGAAGGCAGAAAGAAAGAAUCACAAAAUGGAACUACUGAUGAUAGCAACUCCAAAACCAAGACUGAUUAGACUAAAUCCCAUGUGGCAAAAAUUUUAUUUAGUAAGUUUCCUUCUCCCUCUCUCCCUUUAGAUAUAUGUGCAUACACACACACGCACCUUUAUUUUAGUAAUUUUUUUUUUCUGAAAAAGAAAGUUUUCUGCACCUGAUUGCUUCCAUGAAUAACACAAAGCACAAACAAUAUGACUUUCUUUGGUUAUCAUGCAAUUUUUUCUCUGCUUACCAGAAAUUGGCACAAAUUUAAGAUAUACUAUAUUCUACUCCCUGA
rnacentral:lncRNA from 1 species